rnacentral:rRNA from 1 species
GAUGAACGCUAGCGGCAGGCUUAAUACAUGCAAGUCGAGGGGCAACAGGGGUAGCAAUACCUGCUGGCGACCGGCAAACGGGUGCGGAACACGUACAGAACCUUCCUUUAAGCGGGGGAUAGCCCAUAGAAAUGUGGAUUAAUACCCCACUAGUAAUAUUGACUGGCAUCAGUUGGUAUUUAAAGAUUUAUCACUUAAAGAUGGCUGUGCGGCUGAUUAGGUAGUUGGUGUGGGAACGGCCCACCAAGCCAGCGAUCAGUAACUGGUGUGAGAGCACGACCAGUCACACGGGCACUGAGACACGGGCCCGACUCCUACGGGAGGCAGCAGUAAGGAAUAUUGGUCAAUGGACGCAAGUCUGAACC